rnacentral:pre_miRNA from 1 species
UACCGAGGAUUGUUUGUUCACUUUGAUAUUUGAGCACGAGUGAACAAGAAAUCUCGGUGGG